rnacentral:rRNA from 1 species
AUUGAACGCUGGCGGCAUGCCUUACACAUGCAAGUCGAACGGUAACGGGUUAAGCCGACGAGUGGCGAACGGGUGAGUAAUAUAUCGGAACGUGCCCAGUCGUGGGGGAUAACGUAGAGAAAUUUACGCUAAUACCGCAUACGAUCCAAGGAUGAAAGCGGGGGACCUUCGGGCCUCGUGCGACUGGAGUGGCUGAUAUCAGAUUAGGUUGUUGGUGAGGUAAAAGCUCACCAAGCCGACGAUCUGUAGCUGGUUUGAGAGAACGACCAGCCACACUGGGACUGAGACACGGCCCAGACUCCUACGGGAGGCAGCAGUGGGGAAUUUUGGACAAUGGGCGAAAGCCUGAUCCAGCAAUGCCGCGUGCAGGAAGAAGGCCUUCGGGUUGUAAACUGCUUUUGUACGGAACGAAAAGGUCUGCCCUAAUACGGCGGGCUCAUGACGGUACCGUAAGAAUAAGCACCGGCUAACUACGUG